rnacentral:rRNA from 1 species
CCUACGGGAGGCUGCAGUAGGGAAUCUUUGACAAUGGGCGAAAGCCUGAUGGAGCAACGCCGCGUGCAGGAUGAAGGCCUUAUGGUUGUUAACUGCUUUUAUAAGCGAGAAAUAUGAUGGUAACUUAUGAAUAAGGAUCGGCUAACUACGUGCCAGCAGCCGCGGUCAUACGUAGGAUGCGAGCAUUAUCCGGAGUGACUGGGUGUAAAGAGUUGUGUAGGUGGCAUAAUAAGUAGCUAGUGAAAUCUGGUGGCUCAACCAUUCAGACUAUUAGCUAAACUGUUGAGCUCGAGACCGUUGGAGGUAACUGGAAUUUCUGGUGUAGGAGUGAAAUCCGUAGAUAUUAGAAAGAACACCGAUAGCGAAGGCAGGUUGCUGGGACGGUUCUGACACUGAGGCACGAAAGCGUAGGGAGCAAACGGGAUUAGAUACCCCUGUAGUC